rnacentral:lncRNA from 1 species
UUUUUUUUUUGUUAAGCUAAAGUUGGAAGGUUCGCUUACUUAAUUCACAGCGUGGGGAGAGUGAUUUUGACGUCAUGGUUGUUUAAUUGCUGAGAUUCUCGUUGGUCGUUUUAAAGAUUUUAUCGAGCCAAGUCGAGAAGUCUCUAGUUAGUCUUUCUUCAUUGUUAAAGUAAGUUGGCCGCGGAUUGAGGAUCUCCGUGACUGACGAGCUUAUCCAUUCAGUCGAAUUUUGUAUUUUUUUUUUUUUCCUUUUAAAAUAAGAGCUAGUGGGAUCGGUGGAUCACCAGAGCAAGAACAAAACUCAUAUAUGGUGAGCGUACCAUCUGCUUGCCUAGUGUUGGCUGUACGUUAGAUGAUGAGUGAUGACCAG